ACAAAUAUAAACCAAUUCAAUUUAUUAACAUUUAAAUUUCAAUCAAUCAUUUCAUUUUAACCUUCAUAAUAUUCAAAAGAUCACAAAUUCAAUAUUCAAUUUCAACAUAUACAAUACAAACUCAUAAUUAAAAAUAACAUUAAAUAUCAACAUUCACAACUUAAACUAAAAUAAUUACAAAAUAAUAUUUAAACAUAAAGCCCUUCUUCUUCCCCUAAUUCUCUCACUUUUGGGAAACCUCAAACUCCCUUUAUCACAUCGAUGCUUCUCAUCUACAUUCACAUAACACAAUAAAAAAACAAAUCAAGUUCUUUAAUUUUCACUUCAACAACCAAAUCAUCAUCACCCCAUCAAAAAAACAACAUAAAUAAAUAAGAAAAAUUAAUGUAAAAUAAAAAAAUAUAAAAAAUAUAUAAAUAUAUGUAUGAAUGUAUCUAAAUAGCCUAACUUGUCACAACUGUUGUUGUUAGUGACUAUUGUCGGUCGAAAAUUUUCACGAUCAAAGUCUACCAUUAGAAACACUAAGUCAAGAGAAUUAACAUACAAAAAAAUGGUCAUAUUUAACGGUUGAAUUUUAGUAGAUCUGAUUUUUAAUUUUCAACUAAACUUAAAAAUGCACUAUCGACGCCUGCCUUCUCUCUCUGUGUAAUAUCCCCAAUUAAGUAAAAGAAAUGAAAUUAAUUAAAUUAGUUAAUUUGUUUAAAAUUUGAGGCGGUGCGUGUGUGCUUGGCGGCGAAGUAAAGCAAAGUGAUUUUUCUCAAAAAAAAAAAUAAAAAUAAACAGAGUGAGAGUUGGAGAGGGAGAGCUCGGGAGAGAACUUGAGAGCGAGCAGAGAGAGUGAGAUGAGAGAUAGAGUAAGGGAGAGAGGCUGAGAGAAAGAGAGAGAGAGAGAGAGAGAGCGAGCUCAAGAGCUCGAAGGCCAAUCGGUCAUGGCAGUCGCUGCCAUGGCCGACGAGGAGCAUCGGUGGCUUGAAGAAGCCGCGGCCACGGAGCAACCAGCAGUGGUGGCGACGGCGCGGAGCAGCGACACACGGCAGCAGAGUGGCCGAGGGUGGCAGCGCCGGUAGCGAGGGUGGCCGGUGGUGUCGCUGGCAGGCUGAGGCGAUGGCUGGAGGAGCUCGGCCGCGACGGUGCUGGUUCGGCCGCUGGGAGAAGAAGGGAAGGAGAAGAAGAAGAAGAAGGAGAAGAAGAAAGGAAGAAGAAGAGGAAAAGAAAGAAGAAGAAGAAUGGAGUUGCAGGCGCGGGAGAUGCAGGGAGGAAGAAGAAGAAGAAGAAAAGGAGAAGAAGAAAAAAAGAAAGGGAAGAAAAGAAAAAAUAGGAAAAAUAAUAAGAUUUUUCGGCAAAGGAAUUGAUCAGGAAAUGAUUUAAUUUGCCUCGGGAGCUUGAGAGAGGUCGGAAUCAGCUAGUUUCAGACAAGUUCUCAACCCUCAUCUCCUGAUCUUUAAUUCCCCUAACAUUUUAUUUUGCACCGGGUGCACAAGAAAAGCAAGGAAUGGCUGUGUAAAGGCAAGUUUCUAACCCUCUCCUCGUGUUCUUUAAUUCUCGCGAGAGACUUCGUAGUUUCUCGUAUUUUAUCAUCUCCCUUACUUUAAUUCGGCACUUGGCCUUAUUUGUUGAAUUAUUAUUCAUUGGGUUUAAAUUAAAUUAAAUCCAGGAUUUCUAGAAUUUUAUUUGUUGUGAGUUUACGGGGGUUUGUAUCGCCCCCAUUCCCUUGGGAAUGAUGCUGAACCAGUUUGGGAACUAGGUUCCUAGACGUGCGGGUUUAUGUACGAUUUUAUUGGGUUUAUUUACAGUUUUUCUCGAAUUUAUUUAUGAUACGGUUAGAGUUAUCGAGCAGUAGGGCAGGGGUCAGUUGUUGGUGACAUUGGGGUGGACUAUUGUACGGCUCUGAAGUGGACCGUCGGGUAGACACUCCUAAUCACUGACCGUUGACCGGUGCCGGGCACUGCUGACUAGCUCUGCCGGUAUGUGAUUUACUGCACGUUUAGAUUUAUUAUAUUGCUAUCCAUGAUUUGAUAUGCACAUGGGUACGGGUUGCAUAUUGGGAUAUUCAUUUAUUAAGUAUGCUUGGACACGGAUAUGCUAGCUUGGUUAGGUUGUAUCUAGCACGGGCAUAUGCAUCGCGUGUGGUUUACUAUGUGGGCAGAGCAUGGCCUGAUGCCUGGAUGUAUGGGCGCCGGUGUAUCACGUUGAUGCUCAUUACGCCAUUGCAUUUUAUGUGCACUGCAUGGAUACUGGUAGUAUUUAAUUCUCGGGCAGGAGUACCGUUCCGAGGGAGCCUAUGGCUCGGCUGUCAGGAGUACCGACAGGGACAGGUGUCGGGAGUACCGACAUGGACGGGUGACGGGAGUACCGACCCGGGGGACAGCGUGCACAGGUUUGCUGGAGGUAUUUGUUACCGUCCAGGGCAGCGACAGGUUGGUAUGGGACUUGGGUGCCAUGUGUCCUAUGUGGGCCUCAAGGACCGGUAUGUGCUUUUAUUAUGCUAUGCUAUUGUGUUGUAGCGUCUCAUGGCUUGUGUGUGCCUGGGGGUUUAUUCUGGGGAGAGAUUUCUGGUUUUGUGUAGCCUUCAGCCUUUCUUUUCUUAUGCUUGCUGAGUCUCUCGACUCACCUUGUUUUUCCAUCA